rnacentral:rRNA from 1 species
UACGAGUGGUGCAAGCGUUAUUCGGAAUUAUUGGGCGUAAAGGGUGCGUAGGCGGCAUAUUAAGUCAACUGUUAAAUUCCUCGGCCUAACCGAGGCUCUGCGGUAGAUACUGAUGUGCUUGAGGGUGGAAGAGAGAAGUGGAAUUCUCGGAGUAGCGGUAAAAUGCGUAGAUCUCGAGAGGAACACCAAUGGCGAAGGCAGCUACCUGGACCAGCACUGACACUGAAGCACGAAAGCGUGGGGAGCAAACAGG